UUUCGAGUGCUCGGAAAGUGGCGGACGGGUGAGUAACACGUAGGUGACCUGCCCUGAAGCGGGGGAUAACCGUGGGAAACUGCGGCUAAUACCGCAUACGCUGGUGGAGAUGGGAAUCUUCACGAGGAAAAUUCAGGUGCUUUGGGAGGGGCCUGCGGUCGAUUAGCUAGUUGGUGGGGUAACGGCCUACCAAGGCGAUGAUCGAUAGCUGUUCUGAGAGGAAGACCAGCCACACGGGAACUGAGACACGGUCCCGACUCCUACGGGGGGCAGCAGUGAGGAAUAUUGCACAAUGGGGGCAACCCUGAUGCAGCAACGCCGCGUGAAGGAUGAAGGUCUUCGGAUUGUAAACUUCUUUUCUGUGGGAAGAAGUCUGUCUUUGGACAGAUUGACGGUACCAGAGGAAUAAGACACGGCUAACUACGUGCCAGCAGCCGCGGUAAUACGUAGGUGUCAAGCGUUAUCCGGAAUUACUGGGCGUAAAGGGCACGCAGGCGGCUUAGGAAGUCCGACGUGAAAGCUCCCGGCUUAACUGGGAGAGGUCGUUGGAAACUCUUGGGCUUGAGAGGGUGAGAGGGAGGCGGAAUUCCCGGUGUAGUGGUGGAAUGCGUAGAUAUCGGGAAGAACACCAGUGGCGAAAGCGGCCUCCUGGCACUCGACUGACGCUGAGGUGCGAAAGCGUGGGGAGCGAA
rnacentral:rRNA from 1 species